AUUGAACGCUGGCGGCAGGCUUAACACAUGCAAGUCGAGCGGGGUGAUGGUGCUUGCACUAUCACUUAGCGGCGGACGGGUGAGUAAUGCUUAGGAAUCUGCCUAUUAGUGGGGGACAACAUCUCGAAAGGGAUGCUAAUACCGCAUACGUCCUACGGGAGAAAGCAGGGGAUCACUUGUGACCUUGCGCUAAUAGAUGAGCCUAAGUCGGAUUAGCUAGUUGGUGGGGUAAAGGCCUACCAAGGCGACGAUCUGUAGCGGGUCUGAGAGGAUGAUCCGCCACACUGGGACUGAGACACGGCCCAGACUCCUACGGGAGGCAGCAGUGGGGGGUAUUGGACAAUGGGGGGAGCCCUGAUCCAGCCAUGCCGCGUGUGUGAAGAAGGCCUUAUGGUUGUAAAGCACUUUAAGCGAGGAGGAGGCUCUUUUGGUUAAUACCCAAGAUGAGUGGACGUUACUCGCAGAAUAAGCACCGGCUAACUCUGUGCCAGCCGCCGCCGUAA
rnacentral:rRNA from 1 species